rnacentral:rRNA from 1 species
UGGGGAAUAUUGCACAAUGGGCGAAAGCCUGAUGCAGCAACGCCGCGUGAGUGAUGAAGGCCCUCGGGUUGUAAAGCUCUGUCUUUUGGGACGAUAAUGACGGUACCAAAGGAGGAAGCCACGGCUAACUACGUGCCAGCAGCCGCGGUAAUACGUAGGUGGCAAGCGUUGUCCGGAUUUACUGGGCGUAAAGGAUGCGUAGGCGGAUUUUUAAGUGAGAUGUGAAAUACCCGGGCUUAACUUGGGUGCUGCAUUUCAAACUGGGAAUCUAGAGUGCGGGAGAGGAGAAUGGAAUUCCUAGUGUAGCGGUGAAAUGCGUAGAGAUUAGGAAGAACACCAGUGGCGAAGGCGAUUCUCUGGACCGUAACUGACGCUGAGGCAUGAAAGCGUGGGUAGCAAACAGGAUUAGAUACCCUGGUAGUCCACGCCGUAAACGAUGAGUACUAGGUGUAGGAGGUAUCGACCCCUUCUGUGCCGCAGUUAACACAAUAAGUACUCCGCCUGGGAAGUACGAUCGCAAGAUUAAAACUCAAAGGAAUUGACGGGGUCAAUAGCUGUUUCCU